UCCCAGGUGGCUCAGAUGGUUAAGUGUCUGCCCACAAUGUAGGAGACCCAGGUUUGAUUCCUGGGUUGGGAA
rfam:TPA: Bos taurus chromosome 5, whole genome shotgun sequence.